rnacentral:rRNA from 1 species
ACGUAGGGGGCAAGCGUUGUCCGGAUUUAUUGGGCGUAAAGAGCGUGUAGGCGGCCAGACAGGUCAGCUGUGAAAACUCGAGGCUCAACCUCGAGACGUCGGUUGAAACCGUCUGGCUAGAGUCCGGAAGAGGAGAGUGGAAUUCCCGGUGUAGCGGUGAAAUGCGCAGAUAUCGGGAAGAACACCCGUGGCGAAGGCGGCCACCUGGGCCAACACUGACACUGAGGCACUAAAGUGUGGGGAGCAAACAGGA